rnacentral:rRNA from 1 species
UACGUAGGUGGCAAGCGUUAUCCGGAAUUACUGGGCGUAAAGCGCACGCAGGCGGUCUGUUAAGUUUGACGUGAAAGCUCCCGGCUUAACUGGGAGAGGUCGUUGAAGACUGGCAGACUUGAGGCGAUGAGAGGGGUGUAGAAUUCCCGGUGUAGUGGUGGAAUGCGUAGAUAUCGGGAGGAAGGCCGGUGGCGAAGGCGGCGCUCUGGAACGGCCCUGACACUGAGGCUCGAAAGCGUGGGGAGCAAACAGG